AUUGAACGCUGGCGGCAGGCUUAACACAUGCAAGUCGAGCGGGGGAAGGUAGCUUGCUACCGGACCUAGCGGCGGACGGGUGAGUAAUGCUUAGGAAUCUGCCUAUUGGUGGGGGACAACAUCUCGAAAGGGAUGCUAAUACCGCAUACGUCCUACGGGAGAAAGCAGGGGAUCUUUGGACCUUGCGCUAAUAGAUGAGCCUAAGUCGGAUUAGCUAGUUGGUGGGGUAAAGGCCUACCAAGGCGACGAUCUGUAGCGGGUCUGAGAGGAUGAUCCGCCACACUGGGACUGAGACACGGCCCAGACUCCUACGGGAGGCAGCAGUGGGGAAUAUUGGACAAUGGGGGGAACCCUGAUCCAGCCAUGCCGCGUGUGUGAAGAAGGCCUUAUGGUUGUAAAGCACUUUAAGCGAGGAGGAGGCUACUUUAGUUAAUACCUAGAGAUAGUGGACGUUACUCGCAGAAUAAGCACCGGCUAACUCUGUGCCAGCCGCCGCUGUAA
rnacentral:rRNA from 1 species